rfam:Leucoagaricus sp. SymC.cos contig2201, whole genome shotgun sequence.
GCUUUCGUGGCUCAGUUGGUUAGAGCGCCGGUCUCAUAUGUUGAUAUGAGUUCAUUCUCUUGAACAAAUCCGGAGAUCGUCGGUUCGAUCCCGUCCGAGAGCA